rnacentral:rRNA from 1 species
UGGGGAAUUUUGGACAAUGGGCGCAAGCCUGAUCCAGCCAUGCCGCGUGCGGGAAGAAGGCCUUCGGGUUGUAAACCGCUUUUGUCAGGGGAGAAAUCUUCUGAGUUAAUACCUCGGGAGGAUGACGGUACCUGAAGAAUAAGCACCGGCUAACUACGUGCCAGCAGCCGCGGUAAUACGUAGGGUGCAAGCGUUAAUCGGAAUUACUGGGCGUAAAGCGUGCGCAGGCGGUUUUGUAAGACAGAGGUGAAAUCCCCGGGCUCAACCUGGGAACUGCCUUUGUGACUGCAAGGCUUGAGUGCGGCAGAGGGGGGAUGGAAUUUCCGCGUGUAGGCAGUGAAAUGCGUAGAUAUGCGGAGGAAACACCGAUGGCGAAGGCAAAUCCCCCUGGGGCCUGCACUGACGCUCAUGCAC